rnacentral:rRNA from 1 species
GAUGAACGCUGGCGGCGUGCCUAAUACAUGCCAGUCGAGCGAACGGACGAGAAGCUUGCUUCUCUGAUGUUAGCGGCGGACGGGUGAGUAACACGUGGAUAACCUACCUAUAAGACUGGGAUAACUUCGGGAAACCGGAGCUAAUACCGGAUAAUAUUUUGAACCGCAUGGAUCAAAAGUGAAUGACGGUUUUGCUGUCACUUAUAGAUGGAUCCGCGCUGCAUUAGCUAGUUGGUAAGGUAACGGCUUACCAAGGCAACGAUGCAUAGCCGACCUGAGAGGGUGAUCGGCCACACUGGAACUGAGACACGGUCCAGACUCCUACGGGAGGCAGCAGUAGGGAAUCUUCCGCAAUGGGCGAAAGCCUGACGGAGCAACGCCGCGUGAGUGAUGAAGGUCUUCGGAUCGUAAAACUCUGUUAUUAGGGAAGAACAUAUGUGUAAGUAACUGUGCACAUCUUGACGGUACCUAAUCAGAAAGCCACGGCUAACUACGUG